UAAUUCUUGUUGCGCUCCGAUUGUCCCUCAUUUCUCUUCUGAUCUCAGUUUUAUCCACCUCUGAUCUACACAAUUCACUUGCCUCUUUCUAAACCUUUUGUCAGCUUGAUAUUCACGAUCAAAUGCUGCUUUCUUCACAAAGAUAUUUAGAGUAGCAACGGAGUUGGAUUGGAAGCGAGAUGCUUUUCGCUUUUAGAUUUAUAUUGCUUCAGGGAUGGGUGCCAUGUUCUAUGUUAAUGCUUUCUGAUAACAUUUAAGAACAAAAUGUAUGGAAUCACCACAAGGAUAAUUUCUCGACGAAGCAGAAUGGACACAUUUAAACUAUAUCAUUCAUGUGUGGAAGAAGUCAUUUGAGUUGUCCUGGCUAUAGGAGUUUAAGCUGCCAGUGGAAUAUCCAUAAAGAAAAUCUAGUCUGCAAGUGGAUAGCAAUUGGAGCACCAUCUCAAGAUAAGUUUCCAAUCCUUGUUUUAUUUGAUGCAGGGUUUGAUGUUGAUAGAUCUCACGUCAGUUUUAACCAUCCAUUCUUUUAUGGGGUGGAAAAAAGGAAGCCACUUCCUAUUGUACUCUCUUCCCUCUUCAUUAUUUUUCUGUCUGACACUGUCAAGAACUGUGUACGAUGAAAUGUUUAUAACAAACUACUUGCAAUCAUUUGUUGUAUGAUUGUGCAGAAAGCAUGGACUUGCUAUGUUUGAAAAUUUUAUAAUAUGAAUUCUAAUAUUUUGCAUUUUAAUUAGGUGAAAAUCCAUAAUUUUAUGGUCU